CCUACGGGGGGCUGCAGUGGGGAAUUUUGGACAAUGGACGCAAGUCUGAUCCAGCAAUGCCGCGUGCGGGAAGAAGGCCUUCGGGUUGUAAACCGCUUUUGUCAGGGAAGAAAUCUUCUGGGUUAAUACCUCGGGAGGAUGACGGUACCUGAAGAAUAAGCACCGGCUAACUACGUGCCAGCAGCCGCGGUAAUACGUAGGGUGCGAGCGUUAAUCGGAAUUACUGGGCGUAAAGCGUGCGCAGGCGGUUAUGCAAGACAGAUGUGAAAUCCCCGGGCUCAACCUGGGAACUGCAUUUGUGACUGCAUAGCUUGAGUGCGGCAGAGGGGGAUGGAAUUCCGCGUGUAGCAGUGAAAUGCGUAGAUAUGCGGAGGAACACCGAUGGCGAAGGCAAUCCCCUGGGCCUGCACUGACGCUCAUGCACGAAAGCGUGGGGAGCAAACAGGAUUAGAUACCCCGGUAGUC
rnacentral:rRNA from 1 species